rnacentral:ncRNA from 1 species
CUUAAGGUUGUUAUAACAACCACCGAAUAUAACGUUGACAGCGGAG